GGAGUUAGCCGGUGCUUCUUCUGCGAGUAACGUCACAGAUGUAAGGUAUUAACUUACACCCUUUCCUCCUCGCUGAAAGUGCUUUACAACCCGAAGGCCUUCUUCACACACGCGGCAUGGCUGCAUCAGGGUUUCCCCCAUUGUGCAAUAUUCCCCACUGCUGCCUCCCGUAGGAGUCUGGGCCGUGUCUCAGUCCCAGUGUGGCUGAUCAUCCUCUCAGACCAGCUAGGGAUCGUCGCCUAGGUGAGCCUUUACCUCACCUACUAGCUAAUCCCACCUGGGCUUAUCCAUCAGCGCAAGGCCCGAAGGUCCCCUGCUUUCCCCCGUAGGGCGUAUGCGGUAUUAGCAGUCGUUUCCAACUGUUAUCCCCCACAAAUGGGCAAAUUCCCAGGCAUUACUCACCCGUCCGCCGCUCGUCAUCUUCAAAAGCAAGCUUUUGAAAUGUUACCGCUCGACUUGCAUGUGUUAGGCCUGCCGCCAGCGUUCAAUCUGAGCCAUGAUACAACUACUGA
rnacentral:rRNA from 1 species